rnacentral:rRNA from 1 species
GAUGAACGCUGGCGGCGUGCCUAAUACAUGCAAGUAGAACGCUGAAGGAGGAGCUUGCUCUUCUGGAUGAGUUGCGAACGGGUGAGUAACGCGUAGGUAACCUGCCUGGUAGCGGGGGAUAACUAUUGGAAACGAUAGCUAAUACCGCAUGACAACAGUUAUUGCAUGAUAACUGUUUAAAAGGGGCAACUGCUCCACUACCAGAUGGACCUGCGUUGUAUUAGCUAGUUGGUGAGGUAACGGCUCACCAAGGCGACGAUACAUAGCCGACCUGAGAGGGGGAUCGGCCACACUGGGACUGAGACACGGCCCAGACUCCUACGGGAGGCAGCAGUAGGGAAUCUUCGGCAAUGGACGGAAGUCUGACCGAGCAACGCCGCGUGAGUGAAGAAGGUUUUCGGAUCGUAAAGCUCUGUUGUAAGAGAAGAACGAGUGUGAGAGUGGAAAGUUCACACUGUGACGGUAUCUGACCAGAAAGGGACGGCUAACUACGUG